GACGUAGGUGGCGAACGUUUAUCCGGAAUUAUUGGGCGUAAAGGGUGCGUAGGCGGCAUGAUAAGUUAUUGGCGGCAAAUCGAGGCUCAACCUCGUGGAAACUGAUAAUACUGUCGUGCUUGAGUGCAGAAGAGGUUAACGGAACGUCCAUGUGGAGCGGUAAAAUGUGUAGAUAGUAUGGAAGAACAUCAAUAACGGCGAAGGCAGUUAACUAGUUC
rnacentral:rRNA from 1 species